rnacentral:lncRNA from 1 species
GCUGUGUUGGUAUUUGCUACAGAGGGACAAGUAGAAAGCCAAGUUGGGGGUGGGGGCAAAUAGCAAUCUUCUAAAGUUACCUAUUUUUUUUUUCUUCAGCAACAUAAUUCAAAUUCUUUACCCUUGUCUGUAAAGUUGAUUCUGUCUCUUAUACAUUUUGCCUGUGAAAAGUGUAACGGUUAUCAUCUUAUUACACUUCCCGUAUGCCAGACACGGAGUUCAGUGCUUUGUGUGCCUUAUUAUCAAUGAUGCUGGCUACCAUUGAUCCAUUCCCAGUUCUGGGCUCUGGUUCAAGUGUUCUACAUAGAGUAUCUCAUUUAUUCCCUCCAUCACCCCUAGAGGUAGGUGUUAUUAUCUCCGUUCUACAUGUGAGGAAACUACGGCAGAGAGAGGUGAACUUGCCAAGUGGUCAUAAGGCAGAGCUGAGGUUCAAAGCCAGGGUUGUCCCACUGCAGAGCCUGAGAUCAUAACCACUGCUUUCCGUGCUCUGGGUAAGUAGCUCUGUCUGCCCAAGCAUGGCAUUCAUAAAAUGGCCUAUAAACUCCUAUGAUCAGUAUUAAGUACUGGCAGCAGCGUGUGACCAGUGCAUGAUUGAGCAUUGCCAAAUGCGAUUAGUUGGAGUCAUUUGUGGUUUGACUGGUCUCAGUGUCAGUUGUGACACAUGCUCACACGCUCACACAUGCUCACAGGUUCCCUUUGGGAAAUUGUGGUAUGUGUUGUUUUUUUUUUAAUUUUCUAGUUUUUUAAAAAUAACAGGCUCAUUUAAGAUGUAAUCCAUCUGCCACACAACUCCCUAAUUUUAAGUGUACAAUGAAAUGAUUUUUGUAUAUUCACAGACUUGUGCAGCCAUCACUAUAACCAAUUUCAGAACACUUUCAUCACCCCCCAAAAGAAGCCCCAUACCCAUAGACCCUCCUCGUUUUCUUCCAAACUCCCC